UGCGUUCCAGCAGUUUGCCCACCUCAUC
rnacentral:sRNA from 1 species